rnacentral:rRNA from 1 species
AGGGGAGCCGGAGGGAAACCGAGUCUUAACCGGGCGUUAAGUUGCAGGGUAUAGACCCGAAACCCGGUGAUCUAGCCAUGGGCAGGUUGAAGGUUGGGUAACACUAACUGGAGGACCGAACCGACUAAUGUUGAAAAAUUAGCGGAUGACCUGUGGCUGGGGGUGAAAGGCCAAUCAAACCGGGAGAUAGCUGGUUCUCCCCGAAAGCUAUUUAGGUAGCGCCUCGUGAACUCAUCUCCGGGGGUAGAGC